GCAGAUCCGAAGCCGCGAGGCUCGCCACACACAAGAAGCUUAUGCUUCUGCAUUCGCGAGCGGGCUAAGGUCUGAGCAAAUGCUCCCUUGAUCGGCUCUAGCUGAGCCUGACCCUAAUGGGUCGAGCGACACACCAGAGACUCCGCCAACGCAGCUCAUGUCCAGAGAUUCCGCCCUCGGCAGUUGCGCAAGCUUCGCUAUGGACCGGAGGAGGACGCUGUGUCGGCGUUGAGAAGUGUUGCGGAGCUUGGGCGGCGCGCAACUUCUUGGACGACCCUCGCCUCCGGGCGUGCUCUUCGGGCACAUCCGCUCGAUCGCCUCCAACCGUUCAUCAGAGCGGGCGCAGCCACAGGGCAGGUUGCGUGGCCUACACAUACGCGACAGGACAGGGUAUCAGGCUGGUUCUCGCUCUAAGCCCCUGGAAGGACGUUCGGAUUCCUGAUAUGGUCGGCGUCGCUUCCGAGUUCAAGGGUGCUCUUCGCUUUGGGUGUGCAUGUCCGACUGUAGGAGCCGGCCGCGCUCGAAUUGCAACAGGAGAUCACGAAUGAGUCUGGCCUCGAUCAUGGCAUUCUGUGAAUCUGUUUUGGCCGGCGCUGAAGUGCGUGACGAGCACGUCUUCACCUUGCACACCUCGUCAGUUCUGUCGUGUCUCGUCACGUUUAUAUGACCGGCGCGGCCCUGCUUCCUGUUGAUGGCCGACGACGGCCUCGGAUAGACCGCCAGACGGCUCAAACCGGCUGGGAGCUCAAGGUCGCCUCGUAGGUUGCGGUCAUCGUGUAGGCCGAGGGGUGAGAAGAGCGGCGAGGUCAUUGUCUAGGAGUCGUCAGCGCGCCGUCCUUGAGUGCAAUUCGCGGCUCGCCCUUCCACGUGGGGGGUGAAACUCGAUUCAGACUACUCCGGGUCUGC
rnacentral:RNase_P_RNA from 2 species